GUCUGCUAGGGUCCUGCUGCAGAUGCUCUCCUCUGCCACAGGUGUGAAGCCUCUAUUUACUCUAUAUGUUGCCUUUUUUUAUUGUCUUGCUUAGUUGCUGGGCAGUCUUCCUUUUAUGCUUUGUUUUUCUUUCUGUGUUCUUGACAGGGCUAGCCAUCCUGCCUUCAAUAUUCUUUAAGUUUGACCUUAACUUUACACUAGUAGCUGCAAAUACUUAUGCUUAGGCAGUUCUGUAGUGCACAUAUAUUUGAACUAUCAUUAAACUUGCCAGCGAUGAAACUGAAUAUGAUAGAGGUUAUACAGGCCUGAGCAGUUAUCUAGAUUUUAACGACAUUUUUCAAGAGUGAAUUGAGCUUUAUGUUGUGCUGUCUUUAGUUCUAUGUCUCUCACUAAAAAAUAACUCUACUGCAUCUAUUUUUUCAGCUUGGAUGAUUCAGUUGCACCUGGGUUUUUUUGGAGGAAGUUUGCUUGUGGAUCUGAGAAUGUGGAAUGCUCGGGCUUUCAGAGACCUCUACUCUAAAGACUGCUCAACGUCUAUUGUAGCAUAGGGCAGCCUUCCCUGCACAAACUGGAAAGACACAGGUUGGAUGGAUGGUCUAUGAGGUGAGUAGAAAAAUGGCUAACAGGUCACACCCAGAGGGUGGCAAUCAAUGGCUUUUACUCAGGUUGGCAACCUGUCACAAGUGGGGUCCCUUGGGAUAGAUACCCGGCCCCAUGGUGUUCAACGUCUUCACAAAUUAUCCAGACAAUGAGAUAGAAAAUACCCUCACCCAGUUUGCUGGUGAUACCAAACAGGGUGGUGAGGUGAAUACAUCAGAGGGAUGAGCCAACUUACAGAGGGACCUGUGCAGGCUGGAACAGUGAGCUAAGAAGAACAGGAUGAGGUUUAAAAAAGACAAGUGCAACGUCCUGCACCUGGGAUGAAAUAACCAAAAAGCCCACUACAAGCUAGGGUGUGCAUGACUAGGGAGCAGCCUUCCUGAAAGGGACAUGGAGGUCCUGGUAGACAAUAAGGUGAGCAUGAGUCAGCUGUGCACCCCUGCAGCAAGAAAGGCAAGAUCGAUUCUGGUCUGCAUCUGCCCAGCAAUUACAUUCCUUUAAAAAUGUCUCCAUAUAGUCUAUUUUGCAGUAGUUUAAUUUGCUUUAUCUUCAGGGACAUGGUUUUUCUCGUGUAGAUACAAAAUAUAUAUUCUUAGGAAAAUUUAAAAUUAAUGUUUUUCAGUAUGCUAUUUACAGAAGGAAUAUGGAACAAAGAUGACUAUCAUGGUAAGUCAAGUUCAGUUGAUUGGAAAAAUAAAAUAAAAUAAAAUAUUUUUUUAAAAUAACACAAUUGAUAUAAUACUCUUCUCGAUGCUUACAUAGUCACAGUCAUGAAAGACCCUUAUAAUAAUAGACAACACCCAAACCCCAAAGGAAUUUGAAACAUUUUUGAGCAAUAUUUAUUUUUCCCUUUAGUAUUGUCUUAACUAAAAUUCUAAUAAACCUAUGGAUGAAAAAGUUGAAAAGCUUUUUUCAGCUCUUCGCAGCAUAUGCAAUCCACCAAAAGUUUGCC